CACACAACCGGUGGAGCACGUGGUUUAAUUCGAUGAUAAGCGAAGAACCUUACCAGGGCUUGACCUAGCGGUAGUAGGACCCUGAAAGGGGAACGACCUCAAGCUUUGCUUGAGGAGCCGUGGCAGGUAUUGCAUGGCUGUCGUCAGCUCGUGUCGUGGGACGUUGGGUUAAGUCCCGUAACGAGCGCAACCCCUGCCCUUAAUUGCCAGCGGGUAAUGCCGGGGACUAUAAGGGGACUGCCGGAGAAUAUCCGGGGGAAGGAGGGGAUGACGUCAAGUCAUUAUGACCCUUAUGCUCUGGGCGACACACGUGCUACAAUGGCCACUACAGUGAGGAGCGAGCCCGCAAGGGUCAGCGAAUCUCAAAAAGGUGGCCUCAGUGCGGAUUGGGGUCUGCAACUCGACCCCAUGAAGAUGGAAUCGGUAGUAAUCGCGGGUCAGCC
rnacentral:rRNA from 1 species